CUCUCUCUACAAGGAUUCCAAAACGUAUUUAAACUCUGAAAUCGGUUGAGAAAUGAGCUCUCUAGAGCUGCUGCAAAACUGACUGCAGAAGUAGCUGGAAACCGUUAGUUUGUUAACUAACUUAGGCUUAUCGCUGUUUAGUCCUUAACUCUUACUAAAUUGCACUUGAGCCCCCUGCACUAAGCAUUCACACUCCACACCCAACGUAAUAGAUUUUAGAGCAAAUAACGUCAAAAUCCAAGAAGUUUGGCACGAUUCUCGUUUUUUCCCUGACCCUCACAUUAAAAUCCAUGAACUUGAUCCCAAUUAUUAAUUUUCCCAUAAAAUUAAUUUUCCCCCAAACUUAUGCUGAUAUGGCAAUCAGAAAUCCACGUAGGCUUCAUUUUUCGGCGAAUUGAAUGAUUGUGUUUAAGUCAUAACAUUAAACGUCGUCGUUUUAUAUUUUGUUGGGGAUUAAAUGAAAUUGAAUUGAAAUCCCUCUUCAAAUUAGGUUUCCUCACCAAAAAAUAGCCAAAACACUCUCAGAUUUGAAUAUGAAGAUUUGCCAAAACACUUCGCCUCAAAGCUGAGAACAGCCGAAGGUGCGUUGGCAAUGGAAUCGGAGGGGCAGAAGAUGAGCAUAUCGUAGGGAUAGGAGGAGCGGUGCAAGUCCAGCGGCUGAGAGAUGACUAGAAAGAGACGGUAGCAUGUUGAGGACAAUGGACCCAUCACUAGUAUUUCUCUCUCUCUCUCUCUCUCUCUCUCUUUAUACUAGGGUUUUUAUACAGUAUGAAAGACGUAGAAGAUAGCGUUGAUCGCUGCUGUAAAUUAUUGCAAAGUUUCCGGCAGAUUCAUUCUCGUUUCCAAUCCAAUGGAUGUCUAGUCCAGCGUCGGAGAAUAUGUUGGUGUUGCUCUGUAGUUCCUCCACACGAGAUUUUAAGGUCAAGGGAAAAAUAAGAAUCGCGCCAAACUUUAGGUAUGUUGAUGUUAUUAGGUUAUUUAAUUCAAAGCAAAACGACGCCGUUUAGCUUCUAAUUAAUCUACUCAGAAUAAGUGUGCCACGUUGGUGAUACGUCAUCUAAUUAAUAGCUGAAAAACGUCACUAAGGGAAAAACGAGAAUCGGAGCAAUGAUCCUGGAUUUUAACGCGAGAUUUUUAGGUCAGGGCAAAAACGAGAAUCGCGCCAACCUUUAGGGAUUUUGACACUAUUCGCCUUUGAUUUUAAGCUAAAUAUAUAAUAGAAGUACACAAAAUUAUUAAAAAUUACCUUACUUUGAUCUAUUUACACUUCAUCAGAGACGAUAACCCAACAUCUGUACAUGUGAAAUGGUUACGUCAAUAACCAUUAGUUUCACUCGUACCAAAGCUUUCAAUGGAUCUGAACCAUCCUCCGUUGUUCGAGAAAAUACUACCUUCGAAGGAUAGAGAGAAGAAGCGGUAUAUAUUUGAGAACGAUUCGAAUCGUCUACACACACAUACAAAAGAAAAAACCAAACAAAUCUUAUUCUAGAGAAAAAUCUUAGAAUCUCAAUUUUUGGCAAAAUCAACAAUUUGCUCUCACAAAUAAAAAUCAAGACGAGAUAAUUCCGAAAAGUAAAAUUCUUAUCAUUUAAACUCUUCGAAACUUCGUGAUUUCCAGCGAUCCUUUUUUAAACAAGCAGUGCCGAAUAAUGUAGUCGUCGGAGCUCUUAGAGAAUUUCGAAAACUGCUGAAUGUUCGAAAGAAUUGAGGAAUGGAACCAAAACCAUAACUCUUCUGCGUUAUUUCCAAUUCCAAUGCGGUUAAUGGGGAGUGAUUUUAGGGAACACGGCUUUCACCCUUUUGAAAUUCCC
rnacentral:lncRNA from 1 species